AGUGAACGCUGGCGGCAGGCCUAAUACAUGCAAGUCGAACGGCAGCACAGUGGAGCUUGCUCCAUGGGUGGCGACCGGCGCACGGGUGCGUAACACGUAUACAACCUACCUAUAACAGGGGGAUAGCCUUUCGAAAGAGAGAUUAAUACCCCGUAAUAAAUUGAAUGGCAUCAUUUGAUUUUGAAAGCUACGGCGGUUAUAGAUGGGUAUGCGUUUGAUUAGCUAGUUGGUGAGGUAACGGCUCACCAAGGCGACGAUCAAUAGGGGAUCUGAGAGGACUAACCCCCACACUGGUACUGAGACACGGACCAGACUCCUACGGGAGGCAGCAGUAAGGAAUAUUGGUCAAUGGAGGCAACUCUGAACCAGCCAUGCCGCGUGCAGGAUGACGGCCCUAUGGGUUGUAAACUGCUUUUGUACCAGAGAAAACCUAUCUACGUGUAGAUAGCUGAUAGUAUGGUAAGAAUAAGCAUCGGCUAA
rnacentral:rRNA from 1 species